rnacentral:ncRNA from 1 species
AUCUUCAGGGCAGGGUGUGAUUCCCUACCGGCGGUAUAGUCCGCGAGCCUUUUUUGAGAGGGCACGAACCGGUGUGAUUCCGGUACCGACAGUAUAGUCUGGAUGAGAGAAGAU